rnacentral:rRNA from 1 species
CAGUAGCCGCGGGAAUACGGAGGGUGCAAGCGUUAUCCGGAUUUAUUGGGUUUAAAGGGUCCGUAGGCGGACUUAUAAGUCAGUGGUGAAAGCCUGUCGCUUAACGAUAGAACUGCCAUUGAUACUGUAAGUCUUGAGUAUAUUUGAGGUAGCUGGAAUAAUUAGUGUAGCGGUGAAAUGCAUAGAUAUUACUUAGAACACCAAUUGCGAAGGCAGGUUACCAAGAUAUAACUGACGCUGAGGGACGAAAGCGUGGGUAGCGAACAGGAUUAGAUACCCCGGUAGUCCCUGUCUCUUAUAC